ACGCCGCGUGAACGAAGAAGGCCUUCGGGUCGUAAAGUUCUGUUGUUAGGGAAGAACAAGUACCAGAGUAACUGCUGGUACCUUGACGGUACCUAACCAGAAAGCCACGGCUAACUACGUGCCAGCAGCCGCGGUAAUACGUAGGUGGCAAGCGUUGUCCGGAAUUAUUGGGCGUAAAGCGCGCGCAGGUGGUUCUUUAAGUCUGAUGUGAAAGCCCACGGCUCAACCGUGGAGGGUCAUUGGAAACUGGGGAACUUGAGUGCAGAAGAGGAAAGUGGAAUUCCAAGUGUAGCGGUGAAAUGCGUAGAGAUUUGGAGGAACACCAGUGGCGAAGGCGACUUUCUGGUCUGUAACUGACACUGAGGCGCGAAAGCGUGGGGAGCAAACAGGAUUAGAUACCCUGGUAGUCCACGCCGUAAACGAUGAGUGCUAAGUGUUAGAGGGUUUCCGCCCUUUAGUGCUGCAGCUAACGCAU
rnacentral:rRNA from 1 species